ACUUGCACCAUUUUCUUCAUGUAAAGAUGAAAGUAAUCUAAAGGAAUUUAUUAUUAUCACCUACGACAGUAGGGAGAGGGAGUCUUACUACACAAGAUCAGCAACAGGGUAAGAACGUACAAUGUUAAAUAACAGUAAUUAAAACAUAAGUUUUAUCAGGCUGUGCGCUUGCAGUGAAACGGGAGUGACUUUCUUCACACCGCGGCUCUGAAGACGUAUUUUCUAGCGCACGCAAACACUGAAACCACGUCUCAGGUAGACCCAGGAAGCGAUGUCACCGGCAGCGGCCCCGCUCCGCCACGCAGCACGCCCCGCUCUCCACACGGCGCUCCAGGCAGCCCCAGGCCUGCCCCCGAGCCGGGCGCUGCAGGACGAGCCCCCGAACUCGAGCAGCCGCGUCGCACCGAGCCUCGGCAGCGGGACGCAGGACUGGAUGGCCCCAGAUGAUUUCGGUUGUGGGAAUACAAUGUAAGUGCUUUUGAGCUGCCUCUGGCUCUGCUCUCACGGGGUAUCGUGCCAUACCUUGCUGCUUUGUGAUAACACUUCACUGCUUGGAAGAACCUUGUUCCAGAUGAACACCAGGAGCUCCAGUGCUGGAGAGGGGCCCAGUCCGCCGCCAGCAUCUCCUCACAGACCAAAUCAAACACAGGCUCAAUCUCCAAAUUAAAAGCUGUAGGACAAA